CCUACGGGGUGCAGCAGUGAGGAAUAUUGGUCAAUGGACGAGAGUCUGAACCAGCCAAGUAGCGUGAAGGAUGACUGCCCUAUGGGUUGUAAACUUCUUUUAUAUGGGAAUAAAAUGUUCCACGUGUGGGAUUUUGUAUGUACCAUAUGAAUAAGGAUCGGCUAACUCCGUGCCAGCAGCCGCGGUAAUACGGAGGAUCCGAGCGUUAUCCGGAUUUAUUGGGUUUAAAGGGAGCGUAGGUGGAUUGUUAAGUCAGUUGUGAAAGUUUGCGGCUCAACCGUAAAAUUGCAGUUGAAACUGGCAGUCUUGAGUACAGUAGAGGUGGGCGGAAUUCGUGGUGUAGCGGUGAAAUGCUUAGAUAGCACGAAGAACUCCGAUUGCGAAGGCAGUUCACUGGACUGCAACUGACACUGAGGCUCGAAAGUGUGGGUAUCAAACAGGAUUAGAUACCCCAGUAGUC
rnacentral:rRNA from 1 species